CUCCCUUGGCUCACAGGUCUGCUGCUGUUUGGGUGAGGCCUCUCUGUUUACCAGAAGGGACACCGGAGAACCGUCUGCGCCAUAGGGCUGUUGGUCUCAGGCCUUGUUCAUUCAUGAAGCCCUACUGAGAUGGCUUUUGGCCUGGAAGACAACAGUCUUUCAUCACUCCCUGGACACCAGUGAGUGAAAGCCUCAACCCAGCAGGUCAAGGUGCCCUUUAUUUACUAUUUGAUCAUUUCACAGACUUGACUCACUUUGUAAUUAGAAGCAGUUUAAAGCUACAAAAGGACAAAGUGUUCCUCCAGGGCUGUCUCCCGUCACCCUCGUCUUAUGCCC
rnacentral:lncRNA from 1 species